rnacentral:rRNA from 1 species
GACGUAGGGCGCGAGCGUUGUCCGGAUUUAUUGGGCGUAAAGAGCUCGUAGGCGGCUUGUCGCGUCGACUGUGAAAUCCCGAGGCUCAACUUCGGGCUUGCAGUCGAUACGGGCAGGCUAGAGUUCGGUAGGGGAGACUGGAAUUCUUGGUGUAGCGGUGAAAUGCGCAGAUAUCAGGAGGAACACCGAUGGCGAAGGCAGGUCUCUGGGCCGAUACUGACGCUGAGGAGCGAAAGCGUGGGGAGCGAACAGG